rnacentral:tRNA from 1 species
GAGUGGACUUUUAGGCCAUAGAGUGAGGGGGUCUGGGUGGGAC